ACCUUGUUUCUGUCUUUUCCCCAUGUCUCCCUGUUUUCCCUACAUGUCCCACACUGGCCUGCUCCCGCUAACUAGGGGGGCGUGGUGAUUAGUUACACACCGGAGUUCGUUCGCACUGAUUACUGGCCGGACAGUAUAAAACCACCCAGGUACGAAGAAGCGUUGUAAGCUCUGCCUGUUUAACCCCCUAGCGUGUCGGAUUUAGUCAUCAGCUUCGUGGUCACCGGCUAGUCUGCUCCUGCUGCCCGUGUGUUAGACACCAUCCCUUAUUCAUUCUACAGCUGAACGUGGGUGAGUGCUCCCCAUACGGCGCUUUGUGCACUAAUCGUAGUUACGAACAUAGGUAUGUACGAUGCUUGCUUUAAUGGGUAACUUUCUAGGCGGCAGUAGAAGGCUUUAUGUUCAAUGUCUUUUCUGUCCUGUCCAGGUAGCGCGGCCUUUUCCAUCUACGCGGGGUGCAUAGCGUGGGUCGUGCUGCUGUCUUGUCUGUAGUUAUUUUAUUUUGGUGUAGCCUAAUUGUGUGCGGUUUUUCAAGUACGUUCUGUGUUUCUUUUUGUGGGCAUUAAUUUAGUGUCUACGUCUGCCUGUGUUUGGGUUUAUUUGGCGUUUAUGUCAGCCUGCAUGUUGCUUGCCGCAUUAGUAGAGAGGAACUGGGCAUAAGUGGCAUAUGCUUCAUCCUGGUAACUGCUUAGGUUCUGUCUGGUGCUGGCUGUCAUUUGCGUGUGUUUGUAUUUCUUUUGUCCUGGUGUGCCUGCAUUAUCUACCAUAACGUCUGUAUUGGCUGACUGUAUUUUUGCCCCCCCCCGCCCUUGUGGUGCUGUUUUAUUUGUUUGUUUGGCAGAUAUGGGGCCCUCUUUGAGGGAGGCUAGUCACCUGGUGGUGGGACCCUGUAGCUGCACAUUUGUGGUGUCAUUGUUGCUUGCGGUGGGCUGCUGUGUCACUGGUAAGUCACUUUCUUGCAGUGUGUAUGCACGUGUGAUGGCUGGAACUUAGAACACACCUCCAGUUAGUCUGUCUCCCUCAGGUAAGCCCCCAUCUGCUGUAUCUUUUUAGCUCCAGUGGAGCCUGGCCCCACUUUAGAAAUCACCUGUUCAUAUUGUAUCAUAAUAAAAGAACAAUAAUAAAUAUUUUUGUACUUUCAUAACCUCUGACUCGUUUCAGGUAUUAUUGCAGGACACUCCUCCCUUC